rnacentral:lncRNA from 1 species
UAUUUAACAUAAAAAUAUUGAUAUUUUAAUAACAUCAAAAUACAUAUUGCAUGGAUUUAUUUUUUUGUGUGUAAUAACUCAUCCUUCUCUUAGGUCUAGUACUCAUAUAAUUCAUGGCGUCAGUCUAGAAUACACAGCGAUUGUUAAUGCACUUAUACUUGCGAACCCAGCUUGGUGGACAAUCAACAAUACCCUUACAUGGAAUAGGAGCAGCAGCCAUCAAGUUUGUAUACCCUGUAAAGAGAAAUAUAGAAUCAAAUUAUGUUACUAAAAAAAAUAAAAUGGGAUAUAAUGACUUUGUCCGAAAUUUGAAAAGUAUAAAAAUAAAAUAGUUUACUGCAAUCAACGCUGUUUGCAAUGAGAAAAAGAAAAACAUAUAAAAUCACAGUGUAUAGAAUUUUAGCCAUAUUUUUCUUUUUUUUGUAUGUAAAAAAUAGAAUGUAAUUUUUUUUUUGUGGGAAAAAUAGAAUAUAAAU